rnacentral:lncRNA from 1 species
UCUUUUGAGUCUGUUCCCAAAUCAUUAAAAAUUAGACUACAUUUCAUUAGGACAGGACUCUUUUUUUCCUCUCUUAGGACAGGUCUCGUUUUUUUUUCCCUUUCUUAACUACAUAACUAGCAUCUCGCACAAAUCCAUCAUAUGUGACAGAUCUGUACUGAACGAAUUGUUGAAAGAGAACUAUAUUGUGGAAGGCAGAAAUAGACCUGAGGAGUGAGGGUGCGAUGUGUAGAAACUCUUCAUCAAGCAGAGAACAACUUCCUCUUAUUCGUGAUUUUUAUGAUUGUUCGCUACCCUCUAGGUUUUGAGUAC